rnacentral:lncRNA from 1 species
AUUUUAAUUGGGAAAACUUUAAAUACCACAUAUGUGAUUUCGCACUCUUUUAUAUUAGUAUCAUGUGAUUUAAAUUGUAUCAAUUUAGUACCCUAUAGUUUCGCACUUUCUCACUUUAGUAUCCUUUGGUUUAAAGUGCAUCAAUUUAAUACCAUGUGGUUUUAUUUUUCUCUUUUCGUCGGCUUCUCUGUUAAUAUUUCGUUAAAUUAUAUAAAAAAAAGUUCAGAUACCCUACGCCGGUUUAUUAAAUAUUUACUUUAGUAUCCUUUAAUUUUAACUUUGUCACUGAUUUUUUUUUCUCUGUUAAUAUUUCGUUAAAUUAUAUAAAAAAAAGUUCAGAUACCCUACGCCCGUUUAUUAAAUAUUUACUUUAGUAUCCUUUAAUUUUAACUUUGUGACUGAUUUUUUUUCUCUGUUAAUAUUUCAUUAAAUUAUAUACAAAAAAACUUUAGAUAUUCUAUCUAGGUUUAUUGAAUAUUCACAAUUCACUUUAGUACCCUUUAAUUUUAACUUUGUUACUGAUUUAACGAAAAAAAUUAAUAAAAUGGAUAAUAAAAAAAAAAAUCACAAGGUCUAACUCGAUACACUUUAAACUAUAGGGUACUAAAGUGAGAAAGUGCGAAACCACAGGGGCUAACUUGAUACACUUUAAAUCAUAUGGGUACUAAAGUGAGGAAAUGUGAAACCACAAGGAGAGUAUUUGAAGUUUACCCUUUUUAAUUUGAAACAUUUUUUUUUUUUAGAGAGAAAGAUAACAUAUUAUCUGUUUCAUUCAUUGUAAGGAUGAACUAAGUUUCAGGAUAAGACAACUUAGGCCUCGAAAAGGAUGCCAUAAAAAA